rnacentral:lncRNA from 1 species
UAAGGGGCAGGAGGGGAGGGGUGUCAAUGUGUGGAAGCAACCCCACCUGUCAGUCCUCAGGCACUGGCCUAGGGUGGAAAGUGCCUGCUUCGUAGCUUGCUCCUUUUACUCUAGGCUAUUCAAGCACCGUCUUUUCUAGGUUUGGAGGGAUGAGGCCAGAAGUUGGGUGGGACGUGGGGCUUUCCUCAGCUCCAGAGCUAUACUUUACUUUACAGGACCAGUGUGUGGAGAUCACUGAGGAGUCCAAGGCUCUCCUGGAGGAGUAUAACAAGACUACAAUGCUUCUCUCCAAGCAGUUUGUGCAGUGGGACGAGCUACUCUGCCAGCUAGAGGCUGCCAAGCAAGUGAAGCCAGCAGCAGAAUGACAGCUGCUCCCCAUGUCCCCACCAGGGGAGGUAGGCAGGCUCCAGGGCCUUCCACCAACCUGUCUUUAUAAGGCAGAGACAGCUUUGCCUCUGAAUUCAAAUACUACCUGUCUGUGUUCAACUGGGGGCUCUGAGGUCAGAGGUCAGCUUUACCUUAGGGUCAUGAUUUGUACUCCCUGUCAAAUGUAUUUAUUUCAGUGACAAUAAACCAUAGAGACCACUAAAGCAA